CUCUCCUUCCCCCACCCACAGGACUGCGAGGACCGGGUGCGCGCCGACAUCCGCCACUUCCUCACCAUCCGCCAGGACGAGAAGUUCUCGGGCCGGGCCGUCGCCAGGAUCUUCCACGGCAUCGACAGCCCCUGCUACCCGGCCCAGGUCUACGGGCGCGACCGCCGCUUCUGGAGGCGCCACCUCCGCUUCGACUUCUACCGCAUCGUGCGCCUGGCCACCGAGGAGAUCCUGGCGCUGCGCUGAGGCCCCC